ensembl:rRNA 5S_rRNA 5S ribosomal RNA
GCUUAUGGCCAUACCAGCCGAAGAACGCCCAGUCUCGCCUGAUCUCGGAAGCUAAGAAGGCUUGGGCCUGGUCAGUACUUGGAUGGGAGACUACCUGGCAGUACCAGGUGCUGUAAGCU